rnacentral:rRNA from 1 species
UACAGAGGUCUCAAGCGUUGUUCGGAUUCAUUGGGCGUAAAGGGUGCGUAGGUGGCGCCGUAAGUCGGGUGUGAAAUUUCGGAGCUUAACUCCGAAACUGCGUUCGAUACUGCGGUGCUUGAGGACUGGAGAGGAGACUGGAAUUCAUGGUGUAGCAGUGAAAUGCGUAGAGAUCAUGAGGAAGACCAGUGGCGAAGGCGGGUCUCUGGACAGUUCCUGACACUGAGGCACGAAGGCCAGGGGAGCAAACGGG